rnacentral:rRNA from 1 species
ACGGAGGGUGCAAACGUUGCUCGGAAUCAUUGGGCGUAAAGCGCACGUAGGCGGUCCGUUAUGUCGGGUGUGAAAGCCCUCGGCUCAACCGAGGAAGUGCAUUCGAAACUGGCGGACUUGAGUACCGGAGAGGGUCGCGGAAUUCCCGGUGUAGAGGUGAAAUUCGUAGAUAUCGGGAGGAACACCAGUGGCGAAGGCGGCGACCUGGUCGGAUACUGACGCUGAGGUGCGAAAGCGUGGGGAGCAAACAGGA